AUACAGAGGGUGCAAGCGUUAAUCGGAUUUACUGGGCGUAAAGCGCGCGUAGGCGGCUAAUUAAGUCAAAUGUGAAAUCCCCGAGCUUAACUUGGGAAUUGCAUUCGAUACUGGUUAGCUAGAGUGUGGGAGAGGAUGGUAGAAUUCCAGGUGUAGCGGUGAAAUGCGUAGAGAUCUGGAGGAAUACCGAUGGCGAAGGCGGCCUGCUGGACGAUACCUGACGCUGAAAGACGAAAGCUGGGGGAGCAAACAGGAUUAGAAACCCGAGUAGUCC
rnacentral:rRNA from 1 species